rnacentral:rRNA from 1 species
ACGGGGUGGAGCAGGCGCGAAAACUCCGCAAUGCGCGAAAGCGUGACGGGGGGAUUCUGAGUGCUUCGGUUUCACCGAGGCUUUUCGUGAGGGUAAAUACCUCGCGGAAUAAGUGGUGGGCAAGACCGGUGCCAGCCGCCGCGGUAACCCCGGCGCCACAAGUGGGAACCACGUUUAUUGGGUCUAGAGCAUCCGUAGCCGGCUUGUUAAAUGCCCUGUGAAAUCGUUCCGCCUAACGGGACGGCGUGCAGGGUAGACUGGCAAGCUUGGAACCAGGAAAGGCAGGCGGUAUUCUGUGGGGAGCGGUAAAAUGCUAUAAUCCACAGAGGACCACCGAUGGCGAAGGCAGCCUGCUUGAAUGGAUUCGACGGUGAGGGAUGAAAGCCAGGGGAGCGAUCCGGAUUAGAUACCCGAGUAGUCCUGGCCGUAAACGCUGCGCGCAAGAUGUUGCAUAAUCUUCGCGAUUGUGCAGUGUCGCAACGAAGGUGUUAAGCACGCCACCUGGGAAUUACGGUCGCAAGGCUGAAACUUAAAGGAAUUGGCGGGGGAGCAC